rnacentral:lncRNA from 1 species
AGAGCCUCCCUCCCAGCCCUAUCAGCACAAUCAGGCAGGGGAAAGCACCAGAAGGCCCUACAUCCUCCUUCUUGUCCUCUGGGGCAUGUUUCCCAGCUGCUCAGGGCCUUCUGAUGUUCCCUAAAGAGCCGCCUACAUGCCUUUCCCUGAAGCCUAGGCAUUCCUUCCUCCAUCUUCAAAAGAACUGCCCUGUCAUAGCACACAGAUUUUGUCAACGAGGCACAAGCUAGAGACAACUGGCAAGAGAAAAUCACAACUGACAAAAGGUCCCCAUCAGGAUGAACCUGGAACACCGAAGCCUGAUGUGAAUGAUAUGUCUGUUUAGGGUUCUAGUUCAAUCAACUAUGAUUACCCAAUUACUAGACCCCAUUUAAGAAGCACCCUUCAGUCUCUUCUAACCAGGGAGCCAGCCUCUGAGAAGUCUCCUUGGAAGAUGAUGGUCUUGCUUCCUAGCUCAUUCAACAAACUGAAGCCAUCCCCAGCCUCUGCCACCACACCCUCCAGCCUGCCUUCCCACCUUCCACUGAGAAUGAACUGUCACGUCCCAGCCAACACCGUCCCCACUCAUCCAUCCGUGCACAGCUGGCUCCCGCGGUCCUUUCCCUUCCCUGCACAGCCAAUUAUUCCCUCCGCUCUGCUGCACUCUGCUGCAAAUGAA